GUCAGAGAGUUAUAGUAUCGUCGUCAGGAUGAACGCUGGCGGCGUGCUUAACACACGCAAGUCGAACGGAGUUUUAACGGAAGUUUCGGAUGGAAGUUAAGAACUUAGUGGCGGACGGGUGAGUAACGCGUGGGUAACCUGCCUCAGUACAGGGGGAUAACAGUUAGAAAUGACUGCUAACACCGCAUAAUAUAGCGAAACCGCAUGAUUUUGCUAUCAAAUAUUUAUAGGCAUGAGAUGGGCCCGCGUCUGAUUAGCUAGUUGGUGGGGUAAAAGCCUACCAAGGCGACGAUCAGUAGCCGGCUUGAGAGAGUGACCGGCCACAUUGGGACUGAGACACGGCCCAAACUCCUACGGGAGGCAGCAGUGGGGAAUAUUGGACAAUGGGGGAAACCCUGAUCCAGCCGACGCCGCGUGAGUGAAGAAGUAUUUCGGUAUGUAAAGCUCUAUCAGCAGGGAAGAUAAUGACAGUACCUGACUAAGAAGCCCCGGCUAACUACGUGCCAGCCGCGGC
rnacentral:rRNA from 1 species